rnacentral:misc_RNA from 1 species
GCAAACUUGGUCAUUUAGAGGAAGUAAAAGUCGUAACAAGGUCUCCGUUGGUGAACCAGCGGAGGGAUCAUUACGAAAAGAGUAUUCCGUACUCGCAACCCUUUGUGAACCAUACCUCGUCUGUUUCUUCGGCGGGCGGCCCCUGGGAGGGGCCCCGGGGCCCGGCCUGAGCCGGGCGCCCGCCGGGGGGGCACAACCGAAACUCUUGCUGUACCUCAGUGGCACCUCCGAGUCAAUUACAAAAACAAGUUAAAACUUUCAACAACGGAUCUCUUGGUUCUGGCAUCGAUGAAGAACGCAGC